rnacentral:lncRNA from 1 species
CUUUAAAAUUCACCAUUAAAAAUUCCACUGAAAUCUCUUUACACGCAGGACCCAAAAAAGGCUCAAUAUGCCAAUGAUCUGCAUUAAGCACAUGGGAUCAAAAGUACAUUCUGCGAUUUUUCAUGACCGUGGAGUUCACAAACGAGUUAUAGAAACAGGAACUUACAUCUCUGACUCCUCCUCCUUUCAAGUCUUUUGCACAAAGAGAGAGAAAAUCGUCAUACCUUAACUUAAAAUUUGUCCUGUUAAAACUGAGCCGUUCAGAACAGGGAAACUGUGGGCGGAGAGCUUUCUAAAGCUGUUUUCAAAUUCACGUGCACUUCCCUCUCUGACAGCCACAUUUUUGUAAGCGCCUUCGAGCCUCACUUCCCAGAGCUUCAAACCACAUUCCAGGCGGAGAGUGAGCGGCAGCCCAGCCUGUCCAAUCACGAGCAGCCUCUGCAGGCAGGCCCCACCCUCCACGCUUUAAAUCACAACACAGGAAGCUCCCAAGGGCCAAUCACACACAACCUUUGCAACAGAUUACUACAGGCUGAUUGCACACAGAGAACAGUUAGUUACCUUUCGCUUCCACAGGGCAUUGCCAGGUAAAUGACCUACGAUGUGAAGCGUUACUUUAUGAAACCAGAAAGCAUUACAUAACUGGGGAUGAUAUCACCAAAUAUUCUGCAGAAGAUAAUGGAAAAUAUUUUUCAAAUGCAGACUCUUAGAAUAAGAUCCAGAAUUCUUUUUGAAACAAAGAAUAGUCUUUUGGAAUACUGAAAAAGCAGGUAAAACAACAUGAAUUUUAAAAAAAUGAGGGGAGGGGAUUGGGGUGAUGGGGUAACUGGGUGAUGGACAUUAAGGAUGAGCAUUGGGUGUUAUAUAAGACUGGUGAAUCCUUGAACUCUACCUCUGAAACUAAUAAUAUACUAUAUGUUAAUAGUAUUUAAAAUAAAAAAUAGCCUGUUGAUUAAAAAAAGAAAAAAGAAAUUUAAAGAAGAAAUACAAAAUAGCUAGUAAACACAUAUGCGAUACUCAAAUAGCUAGUAAAUACAUAUGGAAUAUUCAACUCUCC